rnacentral:rRNA from 1 species
AGUGAACGCUGGCGGUAGGCCUAACACAUGCAAGUCGAACGGCAGCACAGUAAGAGCUUGCUCUUACGGGUGGCGAGUGGCGGACGGGUGAGGAAUACAUCGGAAUCUACUUUUUCGUGGGGGAUAACGUAGGGAAACUUACGCUAAUACCGCAUGCGACCUACGGGUGAAAGCAGUGGAUCUUCGGACCUUGCGCGAUUGAAUGAGCCGAUGUCGGAUUAGCUAGUUGGCGGGGUAAAGGCCCACCAAGGCGACGAUCCGUAGCUGGUCUGAGAGGAUGAUCGGCCACACUGGAACGGGGACACGGUCCAGACUCCUAAGGGAGGCAGCAGUGGGGAAUAUUGGACAAUGGGCGCAAGCCUGAUCCAGCCAUAGCGCGUGGGUGAAGAAGGCCUUCGGGUUGUAAAGACCUUUUGUUGGGAAAGAAAAGCAGCAGGUUAAUACCACGCUGUUCUGACGGUACCCAAAGAAUAAGCACCGGCUAACUUCGUG